rnacentral:ncRNA from 1 species
UCAAGAAAAAGGCAAACCAUCGCGAAAGCAUGGGACGCAAAGCUUCCGGCCUUCACACCUCAAUCUUUGUUGCGGUGUUGGUAGCGGAGUUACCGAU